UCCGGAUUUAUUGGGCGUAAAGGGCUCGUAGGCGGCUCGUCGCGUCCGGUGUGAAAGUCCAUCGCUUAACGGUGGAUCUGCGCCGGGUACGGGCGGGCUGGAGUGCGGUAGGGGAGACUGGAAUUCCCGGUGUAACGGUGGAAUGUGUAGAUAUCGGGAAGAACACCGAUGGCGAAGGCAGGUCUCUGGGCCGUCACUGACGCUGAGGAGCGAAAGCGUGGGGAGCGAACAGGAUUAGAUACCCUGGUAGUCCACGCCGUAAACGGUGGACGCUGGAUGUGGGGCACGUUCCACGUGUUCCGUGUCGGAGCUAACGCGUUAAGCGUCCCGCCUGGGGAGUACGGCCGCAAGGCUAAAACUCAAAGAAAUUGACGGGGGCCCGCACAAGCGGCGGAGCAUGCGGAUUAAUUCGAUGCAACGCGAAGAACCUUACCUGGGCUUGACAUGUUCCCGACGACGCCAGAGAUGGCGUUUCCCUUCGGGGCGGGUUCACAGGUGGUGCAUGGUCGUCGUCAGCUCGUGUCGUGAGAUGUUGGGUUAAGUCCCGCAACGAGCGCAACCCUCGCCCCGUGUUGCCAGCACGUUAUGGUGGGAACUCACGGGGGACCGCCGGGGUUACUCGGAGGAAGGUGGGGAUGACCUCAGAUCUCGUGCCCCUUACUUCCAGGGCUUCACCCUUGCCUACAAUGGCCGGUCCAGC
rnacentral:rRNA from 1 species